rnacentral:rRNA from 1 species
GACGAACGCUGGCGGCGUGCCUAAUACAUGCAAGUAGAACGCUGAAGGAGGAGCUUGCUCUUCUGGAUGAGUUGCGAACGGGUGAGUAACGCGUAGGUAACCUGCCUGGUAGCGGGGGAUAACUAUUGGAAACGAUAGCUAAUACCGCAUAAGAGUAGAUGUCGCAUGACAUUUGCUUAAAAGGUGCAAUUGCAUCACUACCAGAUGGACCUGCGUUGUAUUAGCUAGUUGGUGAGGUAACGGCUCACCAAGGCAACGAUACAUAGCCGACCUGAGAGGGUGAUCGGCCACACUGGGACUGAGACACGGCCCAGACUCCUACGGGAGGCAGCAGUAGGGAAUCUUCGGCAAUGGACGGAAGUCUGACCGAGCAACGCCGCGUGAGUGAAGAAGGUUUUCGGAUCGUAAAGCUCUGUUGUAAGAGAAGAACGAGUGUGAGAGUGGAAAGUUCACAUUGAGACG